GGGAAUAUUGCGCAAUGGAGGAAACUCUGACGCAGUGACGCCGCGUAUAGGAAGAAGGUUUUCGGAUUGUAAACUAUUGUCAUUAGGGAAGAAAAAAGACAGUACCUAAAGAGGAAGCUCCGGCUAACUACGUGCCAGCAGCCGCGGUAAUACGUAGGUGGCAAGCGUUAUCCGGAUUUACUGGGUGUAAAGGGCGUGUAGGCGGGGAAGCAAGUCAGAUGUGAAAACCACGGGCUCAACCUGUGGCCUGCAUUUGAAACUGUUUUUCUUGAGUGCUGGAGAGGCAAUCGGAAUUCCGUGUGUAGCGGUGAAAUGCGUAGAUAUACGGAGGAACACCAGUGGCGAAGGCGGAUUGCUGGACAGUAACUGACGCUGAGGCGCGAAAGCGUGGGGAGCAAACAGG
rnacentral:rRNA from 1 species